rnacentral:rRNA from 1 species
UACGAAGGGGGCUAGCGUUGCUCGGAAUCACUGGGCGUAAAGCGCACGUAGGCGGCUUUUUAAGUCAGGGGUGAAAUCCUGGAGCUCAACUCCAGAACUGCCUUUGAUACUGAGAAGCUUGAGUCCGGGAGAGGUGAGUGGAACUGCGAGUGUAGAGGUGAAAUUCGUAGAUAUUCGGAGGAACACCAGUGGCGAAGGCGGCUCACUGGCUCGAUACUGACACUGAGAGACGAAAGCUAGGGGGAGCGAAUGGG